GAACCUGCGGAGGGAUCAUUGUUGGAACGCGCUUCGGCGCACCUCCAGACAACCCUUUGUGAACUUAUACCUAUACUGUUGCCUCGGCGUCAGGCUGGCUCCCCUCGGGGGGUCCCUCACCAUCUCGGUGAGGAGCAGGCCCGCCGGCGGCCAAGUUAACUCUUGUUUUUACACUGAAACUCUGAGAAUAAAACAAAAAUGAAUCAAAACUUUCAACAACGGAUCUCUUGGUUCUGGCAUCGAUGAAGAACGCAGCGAAAUGCGAUAAGUAAUGUGAAUUGCAGAAUUCAGUGAAUCAUCGAAUCUUUGAACGCACAUUGCGCCCUCUGGUAUUCCGGAGGGCAUGCCUGUUCGAGCGUCAUUUCAACCCUCAAGCCUGGCUUGGUGAUGGGACACUGCCUUUGAGAAAAGGCAGGUCCUGAAAUUCAGUGGCGAGCUCGCCAGGACCCCGAGCGCAGUAGUUAAACCCUCGCUUUGGAAGGUCUUGGUGCGGCCCUGCCGUUAAACCCCCAACUUCUGAAAAUUGACCU
rnacentral:rRNA from 1 species